ensembl:snRNA U4 U4 spliceosomal RNA
UAUCUUGCGCAGAGGCAAUAUUGUAGCUUAUGAGGUUAAUCCGAGGCGCGAUCAUUGCUGGUUGAAAACUUUACCCAAUACCCCCCGCCUGGAUGACUUGAAAAAUAGUCAGCUGUGGCAAUUUUUGAUGGUUUCUGACGAGA